AGUCGAGCGGAUGAAGAGGGCUUGCUCUCUGAUUUAGCGGCGGACGGGUGAGUAAUGCCUAGGAAUCUGCCUGGUAGUGGGGGAUAACGUUCCGAAAGGAACGCUAAUACCGCAUACGUCCUACGGGAGAAAGCAGGGGACCUUCGGGCCUUGCGCUAUCAGAUGAGCCUAGGUCGGAUUAGCUAGUUGGUGAGGUAAUGGCUCACCAAGGCGACGAUCCGUAACUGGUCUGAGAGGAUGAUCAGUCACACUGGAACUGAGACACGGUCCAGACUCCUACGGGAGGCAGCAGUGGGGAAUAUUGGACAAUGGGCGAAAGCCUGAUCCAGCCAUGCCGCGUGUGUGAAGAAGGUCUUCGGAUUGUAAAGCACUUUAAGUUGGGAGGAAGGGCAUUAACCUAAUACGUUAGUGUUUUGACGUUACCAACAGAAUAAGCACCGGCUAACUUCGUGCCAGCAGCCGCGGUAAUACGAAGGGUGCAAGCGUUAAUCGGAAUUACUGGGCGUAAAGCGCGCGUAGGUGGUUCGUUAAGUUGGAUGUGAAAGCCCCGGGCUCAACCUGGGAACUGCAUCCAAAACUGGCGAGCUAGAGUACGGUAGAGGGUAGUGGAAUUUCCUGUGUAGCGGUGAAAUGCGUAGAUAUAGGAAGGAACACCAGUGGCGAAGGCGACUACCUGGACUGAUACUGACACUGAG
rnacentral:rRNA from 1 species